UACGUAGGGGGCAAGCGUUGUCCGGAUUUAUUGGGCGUAAAGAGCUCGUAGGCGGUUCGGUAAGUCGGGUGUGAAAACUUUGGGCUCAACCCAAAGCGUGCACUCGAUACUGCCAUGACUAGAGUUCGGUAGGGGAGUGAGGAAUUCCUAGUGUAGCGGUGAAAUGCGCAGAUAUUAGGAGGAACACCGGUGGCGAAGGCGCCACUCUGGGCCGAAACUGACGCUGAGGAGCGAAAGCGUGGGUAGCAAACAGG
rnacentral:rRNA from 1 species